UACAGAGGUCUCAAGCGUUGUUCGGAAUUACUGGGCGUAAAGGCUCGUAGGCGGCCAACUAAGUCAGACGUGAAAUCCCUCGGCUUAACCGGGGAACUGCAUCUGAUACUGGAUGGCUUGAGUUCGGGAGAGGGAUGCGGAAUUCCAGGUGUAGCGGUGAAAUGCGUAGAUAUCGAGAGGAACACCUGCGGCGAAGGCGGGUUGCUGGGCUGACACUGACGCUGAUGCGCGAAAGCCAGGGGAGCGAACGGG
rnacentral:rRNA from 1 species